AACGAACGCUGGCGGCAUGCCUAACACAUGCAAGUCGAACGAAGCCUUCGGGCUUAGUGGCGCACGGGUGCGUAACGCGUGGGAAUCUGCCCUUUGGUUCGGAAUAACAGUUGGAAACGACUGCUAAUACCGGAUGAUGACGAAAGUCCAAAGAUUUAUCGCCAGAGGAUGAGCCCGCGUAGGAUUAGCUAGGUGGUGUGGUAAAGGCGCACCAAGACGACGAUCCUUAGCUGGUCUGAGAGGAUGAUCAGCCACACUGGGACUGAGACACGGCCCAGACUCCUACGGGAGGCAGCAGUGGGGAAUAUUGGACAAUGGGCGAAAGCCUGAUCCAGCAAUGCCGCGUGAGUGAUGAAGGCCCUAGGGUUGUAAAGCUCUUUUACCCGGGAUGAUAAUGACAGUACCGGGAGAAUAAGCCCCGGCUAACUCCGUGCCAGCAGCCGCCGUAA
rnacentral:rRNA from 1 species